rnacentral:rRNA from 1 species
GAUGAACGCUGGCGGCGUGCCUAAUACAUGCAAGUCGAGCGAACGGACGAGAAGCUUGCUUCUCUGAUGUUAGCGGAGGACGGGUGAGUAACACGUGGAUAACCUACCUAUAAGACUGGGAUAAUUUCGGGAAACCGUAGCUAAUACCGGAUAAUAUUUUGAACCGCAUGGUUCAAAAGUGAAAGACGGUCUUGCGGUCACUUAUAGAUGGAUCCGCGCUGCAUUAGCUAGUUGGUAAGGUAACGGCUUACCAAGGCAACGAUGCAUAGCCGACCUGAGAGGGUGGUCGGCCACACUGGAACUGAGACACGGUCCAGACUCCUACGGGACGCAGCAGUAGGGAAUCGUCCGCAAUGGGCGAAAGCCUGACGGAGCAACGCCGCGUGAGUGAUAAAGGUCUUCGGAUCGUAAAACUCUGUUAUUAGGGAAGAACAUAUGUGUAAGUAACUGUGCACAUCUUGACGGUACCUAAUCAGAAAGCCACGGCUAACUACGUG